GAGUUUGAUCGUGGCUCAGGAUGAACGCUGGCGGCGUGCUUAACACAUGCAAGUCGAGCGAAGCAUUUCAUCAGAAGUUUUCGGACGGAAGAUGAUCUGACUGAGCGGCGGACGGGUGAGUAACGCGUGGGUAACCUGCCCCAUACAGGGGAAUAACAGCUGGAAACGGCUGCUAAUGCCGCAUAAGCGCACAGGACGGCAUCGUCCAGUGUGAAAAGCCGAGACGGUAUGGGAUGGACCCGCGUCUGAUUAGCUGGUUGGUGAGGUAACGGCCCACCAAGGCGACGAUCAGUAGCCGACCUGAGAGGGUGACCGGCCACAUUGGGACUGAGACACGGCCCAAACUCCUACGGGAGGCAGCAGUGGGGAAUAUUGCACAAUGGGGGAAACCCUGAUGCAGCGACGCCGCGUGAGUGAAGAAG
rnacentral:rRNA from 1 species